rnacentral:rRNA from 1 species
UGAGGAAUAUUGGUCAAUGGACGAGAGUCUGAACCAGCCAAGUUGCGUGCAGGAUGACGGCCCUAUGGGUUGUAAAUUGCUUUUGUUUGGGAAUAAUCGACAUUACGUGUAAUGUUUUGCAUGUACCAUUCGAAUAAGGACCGGCUAAUUCCGUUCCAGCAGCCGCGGUAAUACGGAAGGUCCAGGCGUUAUCCGGAUUUAUUGGGUUUAAAGGGAGUGUAGGCGGUUGGUUAAGCGUGUUGUGAAAUGUAGAUGCUCAACAUCUGACUUGCAGCGCGAACUGGCUGACUUGAGUACGCACAACGUAGGCGGAAUUCAUGGUGUAGCGGUGAAAUGCUUAGAUAACAUGAAGAACUCCGAUGGCGAAGGCAGCUUACGGGAGUGUUACUGACGCUUAAGCUCGAAGGUGCGGGUAUCGAACAGG